CUAAUACAUGCAAGUCGAACGCGUUGGCCCAAUUGAUUGAUGGUGCUUGCACCUGAUUGAUUUUGGUCGCCAACGAGUGGCGGACGGGUGAGUAACACGUAGGUAACCUGCCCAGAAGCGGGGGACAACAUUUGGAAACAGAUGCUAAUACCGCAUAACAGCGUUGUUCGCAUGAACAACGCUUAAAAGAUGGCUUCUCGCUAUCACUUCUGGAUGGACCUGCGGUGCAUUAGCUUGUUGGUGGGGUAACGGCCUACCAAGGCGAUGAUGCAUAGCCGAGUUGAGAGACUGAUCGGCCACAAUGGGACUGAGACACGGCCCAUACUCCUACGGGAGGCAGCAGUAGGGAAUCUUCCACAAUGGGCGCAAGCCUGAUGGAGCAACACCGCGUGAGUGAAGAAGGGUUUCGGCUCGUAAAGCUCUGUUGUUAAAGAAGAACACGUAUGAGAGUAACUGUUCAUACGUUGACGGUAUUUAACCAGAAAGUCACGGCUAACUACGUGCCAGCAGCCGCGGUAAUACGUAGGUGGCAAGCGUUAUCCGGAUUUAUUGGGCGUAAAGAGAGUGCAGGCGGUUUUCUAAGUCUGAUGUGAAAGCCUUCGGCUUAACCGGAGAAGUGCAUCGGAAACUGGAUAACUUGAGUGCAGAAGAGGGUAGUGGAACUCCAUGUGUAGCGGUGGAAUGCGUAGAUAUAUGGAAGAACACCAGUGGCGAAGGCGGCUACCUGGUCUGCAACUGACGCUGAGACUCGAAAGCAUGGGUAGCGAACAGGAUUAGAUACCCUGGUAGUCCAUGCCGUAAACGAUGAGUGCUAGGUGUUGGAGGGUUUCCGCCCUUCAGUGCCGGAGCUAACGCAUUAAGCACUCCGCCUGGGGAGUACGACCGCAAGGUUGAAACUCAAAGGAAUUGACGGGGGCCCGCACAAGCGGUGGAGCAUGUGGUUUAAUUCGAAGCUACGCGAAGAACCUUACCAGGUCUUGACAUCUUGCGCCAACCCUAGAGAUAGGGCGUUUCCUUCGGGAACGCAAUGACAGGUGGUGCAUGGUCGUCGUCAGCUCGUGUCGUGAGAUGUUGGGUUAAGUCCCGCAACGAGCGCAACCCUUGUUACUAGUUGCCAGCAUUAAGUUGGGCACUCUAGUGAGACUGCCGGUGACAAACCGGAGGAAGGUGGGGACGACGUCAGAUCAUCAUGCCCCUUAUGACCUGGGCUACACACGUGCUACAAUGGACGGUACAACGAGUCGCGAACUCGCGAGGGCAAGCAAAUCUCUUAAAACCGUUCUCAGUUCGGACUGCAGGCUGCAACUCGCCUGCACGAAGUCGGAAUCGCUAGUAAUCGCGGAUCAGCAUGCCGCGGUGAAUACGUUCCCGGGCCUUGUACACACCGCCCGUCACACCAUGAGAGUUUGUAACACCCAAAGUCGGUGGGGUAACCUUUUAGGAGCCAGCCGCU
rnacentral:rRNA from 1 species